rfam:Oryza meridionalis cultivar OR44 (W2112) chromosome 8, whole genome shotgun sequence.
UCCCUCCGUUCCUAUGUCUUUCUAUGUCCAACUUUUAUCGUACGUCUUAUUUAAAAUAUCUUUAUAAUUAGUACUUUUAUUGUUAUUAUGUGAUAAAACAUUAAUAGUACUUUAUGCGUGAAUUAUGUUUUUUAAUUUUUUUAAAAAAUAUUUUAAAUAAAACGAACGAUUAAAGUUGGACAGGGGAACUUAUCAUCGCAUUUAAA